AAAUUGAAGAGUUUGAUCAUGGCUCAGAUUGAACGCUGGCGGCAGGCCUAACACAUGCAAGUCGAACGGUAACAGGAAGCAGCUUGCUGCUUCGCUGACGAGUGGCGGACGGGUGAGUAAUGUCUGGGAAGCUGCCUGAUGGAGGGGGAUAACUACUGGAAACGGUGGCUAAUACCGCAUAACGUCGCAAGACCAAAGAGGGGGACCUUCGGGCCUCUUGCCAUCAGAUGUGCCCAGAUGGGAUUAGCUAGUUGGUGAGGUAACGGCUCACCAAGGCGACGAUCCCUAGCUGGUCUGAGAGGAUGACCAGCCACACUGGAACUGAGACACGGUCCAGACUCCUACGGGAGGCAGCAGUGGGGAAUAUUGCACAAUGGGCGCAAGCCUGAUGCAGCCAUGCCGCGUGUAUGAAGAAGGCCUU
rnacentral:rRNA from 9 species